UACAGAGGGUGCGAGCGUUGUCCGGAAUCACUGGGCGUAAAGGGCGCGUAGGUGGUGGCUUAAGCGUGCGGUGAAAGCUCGGGGCUCAACCCCGAGUCGGCCGUGCGAACUGGGCUCACUGGAGCAUAGUAGAGGCAGGUGGAAUUCCGGGUGUAGCGGUGGAAUGCGUAGAGAUCCGGAAGAACACCGGUGGCGAAGGCGGCCUGCUGGGCAGUAGCUGACGCUGAUGCGCGACAGCGUGGGGAGCAAACAGG
rnacentral:rRNA from 1 species